rnacentral:rRNA from 1 species
UGCCAGCAGCCGCGGUAAGACGGAGGUGGCAAACGUUGCUCGGAAUCACUGGGCUUAAAGGGCGUGUAGGCUGCUGACUAAGUCGGAUGUGAAAGCCCUCGGCUUAACCGAGGAAUUGCAUUCGAAACUGGUCGGCUAGAGUGCGGGAGGGGUAAGUGGAACUCCAGGUGUAGCGGUGAAAUGCGUAGAUAUCUGGAGGAACGCCGGUGGCGAAAGCGAAUUACUGGCCCGCAACUGACGCUGAGGCGCGAAAGCUAGGGGAGCGAACGGGAUUAGAUA